UACGUAGGGUGCAAGCGUUGUCCGGAAUUAUUGGGCGUAAAGAGCGUGUAGGCGGCCCGAUUAGUCCGCUGUGAAAGUCCAGGGCUCAACCCUGGAAUGCCGGUGGAUACUGUCGGGCUAGAGUCCGGAAGGGGCGAGUGGAAUUCCUGGUGUAGCGGUGAAAUGACGUAGAGAUCGGAAAGAACACCAACGGCGAAAGCACUCUGCUGGGCCGACACUGACACUGAGAGACGAAAGCUAGGGGAGCGAAUGGG
rnacentral:rRNA from 1 species